rnacentral:rRNA from 1 species
AUACGGAGGAUCCGAGCGUUAUCCGGAUUUAUUGGGUUUAAAGGGUGCGUAGGCGGCCUUUUAAGUCAGCGGUGAAAGUCUGUGGCUCAACCAUAGAAUUGCCGUUGAAACUGGGGGGCUUGAGUAUGUUUGGGGCAGGCGGAAUGCGUGGUGUAGCGGUGAAAUGCUUAGAUAUCACGCAGAACCCCGAUCGCGAAGGCAGCCUGCCAAGCCAUGACUGACGCUGAUGCACGAAAGCGUGGGGAUCGAACAGGAUUAGAUACCCUGGUAGUCCACGCAGUAAACGAUGAUCACUAGCUGUUUGCGAUACACAGUAAGCGGCACAGCGAAAGCGUUAAGUGAUCCACCUGGGGAGUACGCCGGCAACGGUGAAACUCAAAGGAAUUGGCGGGG